rnacentral:rRNA from 1 species
GACGGAGGGUGCUAGCGUUGUUCGGAAUUACUGGGCGUAAAGGGCGCGUAGGCGGCUUCUUGCGUCGGAUGUGAAAGCCCGGGGCUCAACCCCGGAACGGCAUCCGAUACGGGGGAGCUGGAGACCGGGAGAGGAGGGUGGAAUAGCCAGUGUAGAGGUGAAAUUCGUAGAUAUUGGCUGGAACACCGGUGGCGAAAGCGGCUCUCUGGCCCGGUUCUGACGCUGAGGCGCGAAAGCGUGGGGAGCAAACAGG